GACUAGACUAUUUUUAAAGGCCAGGUGUUAUUAGUGAUAGCCAGAUGACGACUUAUGUCUGGAACAACAGUAUAUAAGAUAGACUCUGCAAAAUAGAAUAGGGUUUGACUUUCUGAGACUCUGGUCUCUCUAUCUUUUCAGCCCACUUCCUCUUCUUUGGCUUCACUCGACAACUCUUAGACUCAGACUUAGAACUCUUACAGGUUUUUAUUCAAAUUCAGAUACCUUGAAAUUCAGAUACUUUGAUACUCUGAUACUUUGAUAUUUUAAUAUUUGAAUACUUAAUAUUUUGGUACUUUUGAUUCGAACAGAAUAAUUGUUUAUGUUUUAAUUACAAUUGUAUUAAUGUUUUGAUUAAUACUGGUUGGGUUCAAUCCAUCAUAAAUGGAUUGUUAUUAAAAAUGUACUAACAUUGGAUUUACAUUUUCUAUAUUUGAAGGUUGUUACUAUUAUCCAGAACUUUAUUUCCAAGUUAUGAUUUGUGGUUUCUGUUCUCUAUAUUCUUUUUAAUAAAUUUACAUAUUAUUACACCUUGACCGUCUGAAUUGGAUUAAAUUUUGCAUCAGUUUAUGGAGGCACCGCUGGGAUAGAUCGAUCCUUGAAGUACAUUUGAUGCAUCGCAAGGAAAGAUAAAGAGAGGUUAGUUGCUCAUCUAAUUCUCUUUAUGGGAUUCUGUUGUGCAAACCUGCCGAGUCUAAGAGCUAUAUCUGCGGACCCAUUUCGUUCAUUUUUCUUGACUGCAGCAAGAGAACGAAUUUGGGGCGGUACGGUGGUUUAACCGUGUGUGAGGAAUGAGCGCGCGCUCUGUGUUUGAGAACGGCGAUUUGCGGCAUUAAAUGUGUCGUGCACUGAAGGGGUUUACCGACAGUGUGGAUAAUUCUGCGUAGCAAGUACACUUUGCGGGGUUUACCGGAGGUGUAUUGCGGGCGCUUUCAGGGUUUACUGAAGCGCAACAGUUUUUGAGACACGCGCUGUCAGGGAUUACUGCAGCGUGCUGGUCAGAUCUGUAUGUCGAUUCUCUGUUUUGAUAUAGGCUCUGGGAUGGACUCGGCAGUCUUGACACUGGCAGAAUUCCACCUUGCGACUAAAUUCUAAAAUCCAUAUAUUUUGACAAUUGUUUGACUGUGGCAGAAUACCACAUUGUAACUAAGUUUAACUCUGUAUAAUUGUUAUAAUUGUCAGACGGCUAAUUAAGUUAAACAAAUUAAGAGUAAAGAGAACACCACCAAAUGUAACAAUUUAAUUAAGUUAAUUUAAUUAAGUGUAUUUAAUUGAGUGUAUCUGAAUUGAAUAAAACUUUUUCUUUGUUGGGGGUGUCAACACACGAAGUAAUGGCUCAUGUGUAUGUAAAAGGAGCUCCUAACGAAGCUCUCACUGCUCAAGUACCGAUGUUAGGCAUCAGAAAUAAAGAAAAGAUUAAAGAGAAAAUGGCUAAAGAUGAAUUUAAAGAAAUAUGGGGUCCGUAGGCAGUGUGAAUUCGGGGUGAUGAAGGAAGUUAAUAAGUUAAUGAUCCUAAGAAACAAAAGAAAUAUGCACGAGUUUUGUGUUGUUUGAGGAUUGUGCAAGCAAAAGGUCUUUUAACAUAUCGCAAUGGAAGAAUAGUUUAUGUGGAUAAACUGGCACAAGCCGCUAGAGAUGCUACGCAAGAUAUGUGGGAUUUAUUAGACAUUGUAACUAAGGAACCAAGAGCAGAUACAGGGAAAGUUCCUAAAAUUGAUGAUAUCUAUAGCUGGCAGGAAUAUGCUUCAAAACUGAAAGCAGCGAUUGCCAAGGCAGGGAGAGAUGUGACGAAUGUUUCUGAAAACGGUGGUAUACAGGUUGCAGCUAUUUCUCCUGGGGACCUGGAGGAAACUGAGAAUGAGUGGGGCAACAUGGGGGACACGAGCUCAAGACAUCGUGGAACAACAAAAGAAGGGACUGGUUGCUGCAGUUGGUCAGCCCUCUGCUCCAGCAUUUCGCUGUUAUCAUUGCCAGCGCGAUGGUCACUACACAAACAGGUGCCCUGAUCAAAAUUUAGAGCGAAAUUUCAGAAAGCCUAGUUCCUCUUUUCAACAACAGCAGACACCAAAACCACUUCCUCGAGAUUGUGCUUAAAAAUAACCCUGGUGCAGAGAAGCAGGGUGCUGACAUGGAGAAUCAGAUAAAACAAACUCAUGCAGCAGGUUGAAAAAUUGACAAGAGCUUUUGAGAAUACAGACUGACAGAUAGUGGCCUCCAUUUUAUAUGAGCAUGAAGACCCUCGUCCAUUUUUUUACAUUCUAACCUAGGAGGCCAGGAUAGCUACAUUCUUGUGGGCCCCCGGGUCUGCAUCUCAGUAACUGUUAUUAAUUUGCCUUUAACAAACAAACAAAUGCAUCUUCAAGGUAUAUCUGGUCACAGUCUUUUCACACAGUCUCUAUUGAUUUCUCCAAUAAUAUAUCCAUUUGAACAGCCUUUUUGUGUGCAAUUCUGGGUUGGAGAAAGCCAAGUUGGCAUGGUAAUGGGAAUGGAUAUAUUGAGUAAAUUGGAAGCAGAUGUUUUGCUGACUAGGGGUCAAUUAAUUAGUCAGUGUUUACCAAUUCCCAUACCAGUGUUUAAUAAAACUGGAAUUUCUAAAUUAAGCCUUGGAGCUAUCACAGUUAAUGAAGUCACAGAGGUCUACUGAUUCCUCAGUGAUACAAUAUUUCUCUGAGAAAUUUCCAAAUUUGUGGUCAACUUCUAAACUUGAUGUUGGUCUUGGCAGGAUUGAGCCUUUGAAUGUUUCAGGUCGGUCCAUCCUAUACAUCCUCCAGUAUUCCAGUAUCCUCUUUAGAGAGAAGCAGAGUGAGCUGCACAGGAAAUUGUGAACCAGCUUCAGGAAUCAGGGAUUUUGGUAAGGUGUACUUCCUCAAUGAACUUACCUAUGCAGCCUGUGUGAAAAAAAUAAAUAAAUAAAAAGCCAGAUGGUAGCUAUAGGUUAACUAUAGACUACACCGCAUUGAAUGCUGUGACUCCUAAAAUAACUCCUAUUGUUGCUAACCCGUCAACCAUCCUCAAUGACAUUUCUCCGAACCAUUGCUAUUUUAGCGCAGUAGACAUAACCAAUGGUUUUUGGUCUUGUCCUAUCAGAAGAGAAGAUCAAUACAGAUUUGCCUUUCAAUAUUGUGACGACAUUCUUCUCACAUCUCAAGACAAAGCACAACACUUGAGUGUACUCACUCGGUUGUUGAAAGCUCUCCAAGAGGCGGGUUUCCUCUUGAACAAAUGAAAAGCCCAAUUGUUUCAAUCGGAAGUUACAUUUUUAUGUCAAAGUAUAGGUCGUGAGGGAAAGAGACCUCUUCCAGACCGGGUCAUAGCCAUUACUCAAUUCAAUAAGCCAACCACAGUUACUGGUUUAAGAUCAUUAAUGGGGCUAUUUAAUUUUAAUCGGAUGUAUAUCCCAGAUAUUUUUCUGAUUUGGCUAAACCUCUAACAGAGGCUCUUAAAGGAGGCCUUCCGGGUGCUUCCCCUUUGGAGUGGACAGCAGACAUGGCUGAGUCCUUUACUCUCCUCAAAUCCACAUUACUCUCCUCUCCCGCGUUAUAUCACCCCGACAUGACAAAGACAUUCCAUGUAUGGACACAUGUUGGCCCAAGUGCUUAUAACUGUGUGCUGGGACAAUGUAAAGGUGACAAAAGUUAUGGCAUUGUUGGGUAUUAUUCAACUUUGAUUCCCUCUUCCAUGAAUGGACAGAUGCCAGAUGCCAUCGUUUUCUACGCCUGCUCGCAGAGACAAAAAUAAAGUCGAUUUCAAAUCAACGACGUGCAAAAUGGGAAACUGCUCUCAUGAACCCUCAGCUCACUGUUGUUGCAGACAACCGGACAAAUUCUGCCUCCCUAAUGGAGAAUGAGGGGAGUGCACACGACUGCGCUGAGGUAAUUAUCUGUGACAGGGGACAUUUUGUCAGAGAUUAACUGUUUUCAGAUUCUCUGGCCAUGUUCGUGGAUGGCAGCAGUUUCUACUCUACGAGGGUGACACGCGCUAUACGGGCUGGGCGGUAGUAGAAGGGAAGACGGGCGAGGUCUUGGCUGAGGGGUCGCUUCGGGGAGGAAGUGCUCAGAUAGCUGAAUUGCAUGCUUUGAAAGCUGCCUUAAAUCUGGCUCUUAAACUAACUGCAGGUGAAAAUAGCUCCACUAAUAUAAAUAUUUUUACUGAUAGUGCAUACAGAUACCAUGUAUUGCAGAGUUAUGUCCCUGUUUGGAAACAUCGUGGUUAUUUGACCACAGCGGGUACUCCAAUAAGUCAUCAAACCAUGAUUGAAGAAAUUCUUGACACGUGUGAGAAAAUUCCACCAAACAGUGUCACGGUGUGUAAAGUCACAGUACUUUCAAUGAUUGGUUGGCGAAAGGAAACUCUCUAGCUGAUAAGGCUGCGAGAGAAGCUGCAAAGGGUGUGGCACUUGAGGAAGUAGUUGUUAUUUUCCCUGUUCAUCCUGAUUGCAUGGGUUCCGAAACUUUAUCUAAAUUGUACACAACUGAGGAUCGUGAAAUGUGUCAAAAAUUAGGAGCUACCUUAACUGAAGAAGGGGUUUAUGCUCUGAAUGACAAAGUCAUUCCGCCUAGCGGAUAUCAAACCAAACUGAACUAAUUGAUCUGUACCAGAGCAUUGCACACCAAGGGGUUCAGAAAACAUAUGCUAUGUUACAACAAACAUGGUUUUGGUCAGAGAUGUUACAAACUGUGAAGGAUAGACUGUCCAGAUGUAUCCACUGUUUGCAAAACGAAGCCAUAAUUUGGAAAAGGUAAAAUCCCAAUUGGUCACAGUCCUCGCCGGUGAGGACCAUUCACACAUUUACAAUUGGAUGUUAUUUGGUUACCUUCUGAUUAUGGGUACAAAUAUGUACUAGUUUUUGUCUGUAAAUUUUCCAGAUGCUCUGAAAGGGUAUAUUGGAUUUUCAGUCCCUCUCAUUGCACCAUGGUUCGGGAAUGAUAGAUUUUCAUAAAAUAGGGGUAACUUUACUGGGAUUUAGGUUUAUAAGCAAUGUCUGUAUUUGGUAACUGUGAGGUGACUGAGGGUCUGACCUAUGUCAGGAAUGCAAUAACAGUGAUUAUUCAUUUAGCCCGGCUUCCAGAGAAUAAUACAUAUAUAUGUUUAUGGCAAUAAAUUUAUUUUACGAUAUAACAAAUUAAUCAAAAUUCAUCAUAGUUGUAUAAGACAUAUAAAAAGAAUUCAAAUAAGUCAAAUUUCUUUCUAAAAAGGUCUUUGGGUUUAACUGUACAUUCCCCUACAGCUCCAUUAUUGCUCGUAGGUCCCUCGGGUCCAUUGAAGGACACUUUACAGGAGUAUCUUAAAGUACUCACGUGCGCAUUAAGAAUGCCCAUUUCAGUGCCCUCAGUGCUCAACAUGCUGGAGAUCUUAAAAACGCUAUAUUCAAUGUAAAGGUUAAAAAUCACGUACAAGUGGGGGACAAAGUGAUGAUACAGAAAAUAGGGAACUUAUGUUAGGACCAAUGUCCUCCAGGUAUGAGGGUCCUUCUUCGGUGUUGUUGACUACUCCAACAUCUCUUCUUGUUGAAAUCGAGCCAGGGCUGACUCGAUGGAUGCAUCUUGCACAAGUGAAGCCUCUGUCGCCGCUUGCCGAUACUAACUCUCUCUCUAAUGUGAUUUAGUCCAACAGGUGCAGUACUUUAUAUCCAAGGAAUGGCUUCUAAGGAAGAACAAUGACUAAUUGUUUCCUCUCUUUAGGUUCUCAACUAUGAUUCCAUCCGGACCUGUUGUGUUAAUAUAUAUAUAUAUAAAAAAAGAGAAACUGAAAACCAUGGUGUUUGUGUUUAUGUGUAUUGGUGUUGUCCUGUUUGGUUGUCUAUGUGUCGUUGUGUGUGUUGUGUUUUUAUCCAAAAAUUUCUGCUCCUACUAUUCUAUAUCUCUAAAAGGUACGAGUGCAUGCUGUCACAGAAAUAUUCUGCGUAUAUUUACCACACACGACUGGUUCUAAGGGUGACCCUUUGAUGUGACUUCUGCAACAGUGCAGCUCAUUGACAUUCUGGGAGUGGUUGCUGUGCUCGUGGCUGGACAUCAGUGUUUCAUUGCAUCAUCAUAACAUCACUUGUUUACUAACUCUACGCCAUCUGAGAGACCUGUGCUAAGUCUACCGACAUAUAUAUAUAUACAUUUGUGAAGGGUAAGGAAAGGUUUGAGAUGUUGAAAAUGAUCAACGAAAGUUUGGAAAUUAACGACAUGGUACCAUAAGGACAAAUAUCUUCAACUACUACCUCCCAAGGGCAAGAAGAGAAAGAACGAUGAUAGAGUUUAGAGUUGGGAAAGAUGGAAGGCUGUGGUAAGUCCUCAACCCAGCAAAAGUCCAGGGGACGCCAGGGGUCGAAUUUCCUUAGGAGUUCUCGUCUGGCCAUCUUGGUGAAGAUCUUUGUUAAUUUUAAGGUAGCUGGGGUUAGAGAGGUAUCUACAGUACUAUCUAUCUGAAAUUUUGCUAUUGAUUUUCUAUAUUUUCAUGUAUGCAUCAUGUAUUUUUCUUUUGAAUUACUCUGUAUUUCUGUAUUUUUGGUUUUGAUUUAAGGAAAAGGUUGUGGCGAGUCUUUUGAUAAGACUCGAGUGGGGGAUUGGUGUGUGGAGAUUCUAAGAAAUCCACAUGGUGAUAGAGAUUCUGAGAAGAAGUCCACGUAUUUAAAUUAAACCCAAGUGUUGCUGAGAGAUUCUGAGAAGUCACGUACUCAAAAUGUGUUCUAUUCAUAAUAAGUUUCAUUUCAAAAGUUAAAAAUUAAUAUUUCAUGGUAAGGAUCUGUCUCAUAUAUAUAUAUAUUAACAGGUUUCAUUUUUAUAUUCAAAAAUGUUUUAGGUAAACUUUAUGGUAUAUUUCAUAUGUAAUUUCACAGUAUUUCUAACUGCGUAGUCAGCUGAGUCUGUUUUGCAUAUGAAGUUGAAACAAACUGGAACAACAGUUCCCUUUCAGUCGGUCACUCUCGACGCCACGUCGGUGACCGACGAAAAUGGGAUAUCGCUUCGAUAGACCAAUCUACUUCGAGUGU
ensembl:lncRNA